rnacentral:lncRNA from 1 species
AUGGUUUCGUCGCACUCGCAGUCGACACGGAACGCGCGAUUUUCUUCCCUUCUUAUAAAAUGAGACUGUCGGAGUCGCGCGAUAUAUAAUUUAAUCCCUUCUUAUAAAAUGAGACCGGGGGAGUCGCGCGAUACAUAAUUUAAUCGCCCUUACUUUAAUAAUAUUCUUCCGUUUUUAAUGAAUAAUACAGCUUGUGUUACAUUCAAAUGGGAGGAUAAGCUUGCCAUGACCUGUCCCUCGUUGCUUUAUCACAUCAUUGAGACGUGCUUUUCUUUUCUUUUUUCGGGGUUUUUUCCACAUAUAUCAAAUACAAAAAAAAAAAAUAAUAACAAAGUAACUGUCGGCUGCCGACUUUGAAGUGCAUCUUUUUUCUCUUCUUUCAAUUUCACGCAUGCAAUCGUGGCUGAUUUGUGUCUGGUUCUGUUCUUUUUUUCAGAAGAAAAUGGCGUUGGCCCCUCAUAGAAGAAUCUGACAUGAAACAACAAAAAAAUACAGAGAAAACACAAGGAAAAGGCGAGUGCAGAAGAAAUAAGACUGUAGUUUUUAUUUCUUCUAUUUUGCAGAAGUUACACCGAUAGUUGUGAAGUGAAUAUUGAAAGCCAAUCACAGUACAGAAAAGAUGGUAUGUACUAAGCGCUCCACGUAAUCUUGUAUCUCAUUUUAAUUUUUUCAUGUUAUUAAUACAUAAUUUUGAUAAUUUCUUUAAUCUGAAUUCCGAACCUUGAACUUUAAACUCGAAUCUUGAACUUCGAACUCGAACUUGAACCUAAACUCGAAACCUGAACCAUAAACCUCAAACUCAAACCUUGACAUGUGGUUCAAGGCCCUUUGGUUUAAGUUUGAGUUCAGAUUCAAAGUUUAGGAUUUAGAGUUUGAGAUUUGAGGUUUAGGUUAAAAAAAUAUCAAAAUUAUGUAUCAAUAAUAUAAAAAAAUUAUUAAAAUAUCAUUAAACAAUUAAAAAGAGAUACGAGAUGAUGUGGCAACCCUAUUCAUACCAUCCUUUCUUAUCGGGGUAAAAAAGAUUGCAUGAAAUAAGAAUAUUAUUAAUUUCUAAUAGUUUUAUGUUACAUCAAUAAUUUUAUUUCUAAAUUUUAGAAUUUUCAGUUGAAUUUAAUUUUUUCAAGAUAAAAAUAAUAAUGUAACAUAAAACUAUUUUAAAAAGAACAGAUAACGUAACUUCACUAUUUCAUACCAUCAAAAUCUAACGCAUCUAUUUUUACAAAACCCACCACUCAAACUACAUGCGCCAAUGUUCUUCAAAGCAUUCAUUUUUAUAGCCGCCUAAACAAAGGCUUUUUUUGCAGUUUCAACUGUUUGUCGGCACAACAACAAAAAAGUGUCAGGUUUUGGAUUGUCGGUUGUCACAUUUGGUGAAUGUUAAGAAGGAUGUCGAUUUAAGGAAUUUAUGACGUGAAUAUUUUAUGUUAAAAAGGGGUGGGUAAAAGAUUUGUUUUUUCAGUGAAGAAGAGACAAAGGGUAGUGAUUUUAUGCUUGGCUCAAAGGCCUGAGGCCGCGACGAGGAAAGAAACAAAGGAAAGGAGUGAGAGUAGUAUUAGGAAAGAAGUUUGGAAAUGGUAAGUUAAAUAAUGGUGAUGGUGGAAGAGGAGGAGUUUGGACCAAUUAUGAAGUUUGAGGGUGUAAGAUGUUAUGAAGGAGACAAAAGCUAUGGGGGCUAAUCCUUCAGACAUGAUGGAGGGAGCAAAGAUUGUUGGAUUCGUAAAUUGCGUCUCCUUCCCAUAGAGUAUACAUGGACCGUUCGCGAAACACCAAUCACAAUUUACUCACCAACGCAUGCAUGAAGAUGGAAGAAAAACGAAAAAAAAAAAAAAGUUGGCAAGGUUCCAACCAACUAUUGCAGGUAAGACUCGACUAUAGAGUUAUAGUUACUAAAAGGUAAUGUGAAAAUGAAAGUUAGAUAGUAAUGAUAUGUAUUAAAGUUAAAACAAGUUUAUAAUAAUGAAAAUAACAUUAGGGUUUGAUAAAAAUAAGAAAAUUGUUUUUGGGUGUGAUCCGAAAAGAGAUCCGAUAUUGCUAUGCUAUGGUUUCCUCAAAAUAACGUUUCCUCCAACUCCACAUUGUGGGCUCCACUCUUCAAUAAAAUCCCCACAAUAGCAAGAGUAGCGCGAUUCCUCCUUUUUCUUUUCUGCUUUCUCAUUAUCC